GACGAAGGAUGCAAGCGUUAUCCGGAUUCAUUGGGUUUAAAGGGCGCGUAGGCGGUUUGGUAAGUCAGUGGUGAAAUCUGUGGGCUUAACCCACAAACUGCCUUUGAUACUGCUGAUCUAGAGUACAGUUGCCGUUGGCGGAAUAUGACAUGUAGUGGUGAAAUACUUAGAUAUGUCAUAGAACACCGAUAGCGAAGGCAGCUAACGAAGCUGUAACUGACGCUGAGGCUCGAAAGUGCGGGGAGCAAACGGG
rnacentral:rRNA from 1 species